UUGUUACAACCGUAUACGUUAACGAUCUUUCUUAUUAGUGUUAUGUGCCAACACUAGUGUGUUUAGCCACAUUACGACACAAUCAUGGUAGCAGUUGUGGCCACGUGGGUAACAUGGAUGCUAAUUCAGCUUUAGGCCUACAGGCGAUUUGUUCGCUGGAGACAGUGUUGCUGCAUUUCCUUAGCGUUAUUUUCAGUGCAUUGUUGAAUAAUUUAGUUUAGUAAAACAGGUCACGUGUUUGAUAAUGACUGCCACUAGAGGCGUUGCAGCGCGGUUGUUUGUAUCGUGUCUGUGUCAUUAGAUGGCGGAGAUGGAUGUGUCAUUUGUCUCCCAGUGCCCUUGCAUUCAUUCGGGCAUUCUGAGACUUGUGUCGCUACAUUGUUUCAUUCGCGGUUCUUAUUACGCUGUAUGGCAAUAUUGCGUGUUCAUCCACUACUUCCAUUCAUUACUUCCCAGGUGUAUCUCGGAUUUCCCUGAGUGCCAAGAACAGCGGAAGCCACCAUGAUCCUACUUCCAGUUAUCGAACUUGAUGUUCCUUAAAGUGGGAUAUUCAGCAGCAGCUCAACUUGGUAGGUAUUCACACAGCUCAGUUAACAUAAACUUUGUCUGAGUUUUAGACUCACUGAUCUGUACUAAGUAUUCUUUCAGAAAUGUCAUUUCCUGUAGUGCUCAUGAUGGACCCUCCUUGUGCCUGGCCUCUCAUGAGACCUUGUGUGCAUGUAAACCUGUGAAAAAUAAAAGACUGGGUUACCCUUC